rnacentral:lncRNA from 1 species
AUCAGCUUCUCUUCAGCCCUUUAUUAAUAUUUACAUAUAUUUUAUUUAGAGACAGGGUUUUGCUAAGUUGUUUAGGGCCUCCCUAAAUUGUUGAGGCUGGCUUUGAAUUCACAAUCCUCCUGCCUCAGCCUCACGAGCUGCUGGGAUUACAGGUAUAUACCACUGUACCCAGCAAAUAUCAGCUUCUUGUAGACACAGGAGUGCCCCACGUGGAGAAGCCUUUCUGCCCCUGGCCCUGUGUGUCUCAGGUCCAGAGGUGGCUAUGGCCUUGCUGCCUCAGCACUGCUAGCAGAUUGGCUCUCCUCUCACUUUUGCAGAACUCUGUGCUAUUUUGAGGUUUAUGCUAAUCAGUUACACCAGCUUGCCACAGCCUUAUUUCUAUCUACUGGCCUUCUGCUUGUGUCCUUUCCUCCUGUGACUAUCACACCUCUGCCAUCUUUUUUUAACCAUUAGAUCAUGACUUAAUUUUCAGAAACUCCAGCAUCCUGUAGGUCAAGGAUCUCUCAGUUCCAUGACCAAAAUAGCCAUCAGUUUUUCUUUACUUCAUGUCACACACCCACUUCCUUUUGUCACUUCUUCAACUUAGAUGUCUCAUGAAGACAUCUAGCCGUUGACCAUGGGCUGCUCACAAACUGUCCUUCCUUUUUUUCCCAGCUCAGAGUCCAUGUUCAUUCUUUAUUUUCUCUCUUGAAAAUAUCCCCAGUACUUCCAUGGAUCUCCUCAUCUGUCCUGAGACUAGACAUCUGGUAGGGCAUUAACUAUUUUAGUCAACUUCGUGAAAGAUCCAUUACAAAUUUUAAUUGAGUUUAAACUAAAUUUACAGAUUAUGGAAUUAAAUAGGGAAACUGACAUCUUCAUGAUACUGAAUCUUUUUAUCUAUAAAUUCAAUUUAUCUUACAAUUUAUUUAGGUCUUUUAUCCCUUUACUUUAGGAAUUUCUUGAAAAGACAUCAGGGAGACUCCAUUUUCCCUGACAAGCCCUAAUUCAUUAACUGAUUCCUUUGUAAAGGCAGUAAACAGGAUUCAGAACUUUUGGAGACUGACAGCAGUGAAAGGGUUUUUAGCAACUUCUAGUUUUUUUUCCCUCUAGAAAAUGUUAAAUAAUGCUCAGUAUCUGAAUUAGUGCCUGCCCUGGUUGCUCAACACUUUAGCUCCUAUAGUUUCUUUAAAUUGAGAGCAUGGUGUACCGUAAAGCCAGGAAUGGUGGCAUGCACCUGUGGUCCCAGCUACUUUGGAGGAGAAUCACUUGAGUUUGAGUCCAACCUGGGAAACAUAGGAAGACCCUGUCUCAAAAUAAGGGGGGCAGAUGGCAUAGGAGAGAAAGCCUUCUGCCCUGCCAUGGAGGAGGCUGAUGGCAUGAGGUCGCCUACAUCAGGUCACCUAGAGAGAGUGGGUCUCACUCUCUUUAUCACUGGGAUGGUGGACUAGAGGUAACACGGAGCUAUAGGUUUCCUGGGAUCCUUUUUAAGAGACAGGCUUCUUCGAGUCUCAUAAAAUAUUAAAAAGAAUGAGGCUUACAUAAUUUUUCAUAAAAAAGAACAAUCAUUUGCAGAACAUUUUAUACUUUACAUUUCCUUCUUUUACUGUAACUUGUAACAAACUGUCUCUGUGGGUUGAAAUGACCAAGGCCACUUGUUACCAUUCUCUAGAAACACUAGUGGUGAUUUAUGAAGGGGGUGUCUUCUCAGAUGAAGGAGGGAUUGUUACCAGGCAGUGGCUGAAGCGGCCUCUACCCUGGGCCUCUCCUGGCACAGGCCUUCAUGAAGGUUUACCAUUCUUCCCAUAAAGGUCUGGUGUAGCUUGAUAAUUCGAAUGAGAUCUU